rnacentral:lncRNA from 1 species
UUACAAUUGGAACUAAACAGAAUGCCUCCAAGGGACGCAAGCACACGAGUACUGAAAGAAAUGUUUAAAUUUAAACUAAGAAAUUGAAAUUACAUAUUCUCUGUUUGAGAGUGUUUGAUUCGGGGUCCUUUUCUCUAUGUCUUCUCUUCCUUUUAUAUUUCCUUGAUGAUUUCUUCGUGACAAACCGCUUGGAAACUGCUUGACUGCCUUAUAACUACCCACUUUCUUUAUGGUGGCUAACUUGUCGUGGAACUGCCGUCUCUAACUGCUG